AUGACAAAAUCGGUAAGGAAAAAAUAAUCAAAUUAACUGGAAAUAACAAAAUGCUUAACAGUACAUUAUAAUCCUAUAAAAUGUCUAACUAGCAUCUCAGAAACACAAAAUGGGGACACUUCAAAAACAAAACAAUAAUUGAAAUCAGAUUAUCCAUCCAUUAUUAUAAAAGAAAAAAAAAAAAAAAACACAUGAAAGACAUUAAAACCAAAAGCUGGAAACCUGAAAAUCAGAAAGAGCAAAGAGAAACAGCAAUCAGACUUGCUCCAGAGAUUUAAAGAUACUAG